GGUUAAGCGACUAAGCGUACACGGUGGAUGCCCUGGCAGUCAGAGGCGAUGAAGGACGUGCUAAUCUGCGAUAAGCGUCGGUAAGGUGAUAUGAACCGUUAUAACCGGCGAUUUCCGAAUGGGGAAACCCAGUGUGUUUCGACACACUAUCAUUAACUGAAUCCAUAGGUUAAUGAGGCGAACCGGGGGAACUGAAACAUCUAAGUACCCCGAGGAAAAGAAAUCAACCGAGAUUCCCCCAGUAGCGGCGAGCGAACGGGGAGCAGCCCAGAGCCUGAAUCAGUGUGUGUGUUAGUGGAAGCGUCUGGAAAGGCGCGCGAUACAGGGUGACAGCCCCGUACACAAAAAUGCACAUGCUGUGAGCUCGAUGAGUAGGGCGGGACACGUGGUAUCCUGUCUGAAUAUGGGGGGACCAUCCUCCAAGGCUAAAUACUCCUGACUGACCGAUAGUGAACCAGUACCGUGAGGGAAAGGCGAAAAGAACCCCGGCGAGGGGAGUGAAAAAGAACCUGAAACCGUGUACGUACAAGCAGUGGGAGCACGCUUAGGCGUGUGACUGCGUACCUUUUGUAUAAUGGGUCAGCGACUUAUAUUCUGUAGCAAGGUUAACCGAAUAGGGGAGCCGAAGGGAAACCGAGUCUUAACUGGGCGUUAAGUUGCAGGGUAUAGACCCGAAACCCGGUGAUCUAGCCAUGGGCAGGUUGAAGGUUGGGUAACACUAACUGGAGGACCGAACCGACUAAUGUUGAAAAAUUAGCGGAUGACUUGUGGCUGGGGGUGAAAGGCCAAUCAAACCGGGAGAUAGCUGGUUCUCCCCGAAAGCUAUUUAGGUAGCGCCUCGUGAAUUCAUCUCCGGGGGUAGAGCACUGUUUCGGCAAGGGGGUCAUCCCGACUUACCAACCCGAUGCAAACUGCGAAUACCGGAGAAUGUUAUCACGGGAGACACACGGCGGGUGCUAACGUCCGUCGUGAAGAGGGAAACAACCCAGACCGCCAGCUAAGGUCCCAAAGUCAUGGUUAAGUGGGAAACGAUGUGGGAAGGCCCAGACAGCCAGGAUGUUGGCUUAGAAGCAGCCAUCAUUUAAAGAAAGCGUAAUAGCUCACUGGUCGAGUCGGCCUGCGCGGAAGAUGUAACGGGGCUAAACCAUGCACCGAAGCUGCGGCAGCGACGCUUAUGCGUUGUUGGGUAGGGGAGCGUUCUGUAAGCCUGUGAAGGUGUACUGUGAGGUAUGCUGGAGGUAUCAGAAGUGCGAAUGCUGACAUAAGUAACGAUAAAGCGGGUGAAAAGCCCGCUCGCCGGAAGACCAAGGGUUCCUGUCCAACGUUAAUCGGGGCAGGGUGAGUCGACCCCUAAGGCGAGGCCGAAAGGCGUAGUCGAUGGGAAACAGGUUAAUAUUCCUGUACUUGGUGUUACUGCGAAGGGGGGACGGAGAAGGCUAUGUUGGCCGGGCGACGGUUGUCCCGGUUUAAGCGUGUAGGCUGGUUUUCCAGGCAAAUCCGGAAAAUCAAGGCUGAGGCGUGAUGACGAGGCACUACGGUGCUGAAGCAACAAAUGCCCUGCUUCCAGGAAAAGCCUCUAAGCAUCAGGUAACAUCAAAUCGUACCCCAAACCGACACAGGUGGUCAGGUAGAGAAUACCAAGGCGCUUGAGAGAACUCGGGUGAAGGAACUAGGCAAAAUGGUGCCGUAACUUCGGGAGAAGGCACGCUGAUAUGUAGGUGAAGUCCCUCGCGGAUGGAGCUGAAAUCAGUCGAAGAUACCAGCUGGCUGCAACUGUUUAUUAAAAACACAGCACUGUGCAAACACGAAAGUGGACGUAUACGGUGUGACGCCUGCCCGGUGCCGGAAGGUUAAUUGAUGGGGUCAGCGCAAGCGAAGCUCUUGAUCGAAGCCCCGGUAAACGGCGGCCGUAACUAUAACGGUCCUAAGGUAGCGAAAUUCCUUGUCGGGUAAGUUCCGACCUGCACGAAUGGCGUAAUGAUGGCCAGGCUGUCUCCACCCGAGACUCAGUGAAAUUGAACUCGCUGUGAAGAUGCAGUGUACCCGCGGCAAGACGGAAAGACCCCGUGAACCUUUACUAUAGCUUGACACUGAACAUUGAGCCUUGAUGUGUAGGAUAGGUGGGAGGCUUUGAAGUGUGGACGCCAGUCUGCAUGGAGCCGACCUUGAAAUACCACCCUUUAAUGUUUGAUGUUCUAACGUUGACCCGUGAUCCGGGUUGCGGACAGUGUCUGGUGGGUAGUUUGACUGGGGCGGUCUCCUCCUAAAGAGUAACGGAGGAGCACGAAGGUUGGCUAAUCCUGGUCGGACAUCAGGAGGUUAGUGCAAUGGCAUAAGCCAGCUUGACUGCGAGCGUGACGGCGCGAGCAGGUGCGAAAGCAGGUCAUAGUGAUCCGGUGGUUCUGAAUGGAAGGGCCAUCGCUCAACGGAUAAAAGGUACUCCGGGGAUAACAGGCUGAUACCGCCCAAGAGUUCAUAUCGACGGCGGUGUUUGGCACCUCGAUGUCGGCUCAUCACAUCCUGGGGCUGAAGUAGGUCCCAAGGGUAUGGCUGUUCGCCAUUUAAAGUGGUACGCGAGCUGGGUUUAGAACGUCGUGAGACAGUUCGGUCCCUAUCUGCCGUGGGCGCUGGAGAACUGAGGGGGGCUGCUCCUAGUACGAGAGGACCGGAGUGGACGCAUCACUGGUGUUCGGGUUGUCAUGCCAAUGGCACUGCCCGGUAGCUAAAUGCGGAAGAGAUAAGUGCUGAAAGCAUCUAAGCACGAAACUUGCC
rnacentral:rRNA from 1 species